AUACGUAGGGGGCAAGCGUUAUCCGGAUUUACUGGGUGUAAAGGGAGUGUAGGUGGUCUGGCAAGUCAGAUGUGAAAGCCCGCGGCUCAACUGCGGGACUGCAUUUGAAACUGUCAGACUGGAGUGCAGGAGAGGAAAGUGGAAUUCCUAGUGUAGCGGUGAAAUGCGUAGAUAUUAGGAAGAACACCAGUGGCGAGGGCGGCUUUCUGGACUGAAGCGGACACGGAGGCUCGAAAGCGUGGGGAGCAAAAAGGAGUAGAUACCGUGGUAGUCCACGCCGUAAACGAUGAAUACUAGGUGUCGGGUGGCAAAGCCAUUCGGUGCCGCAGCUAACGCAAUAAGUAUUCCACCUGGGGAGUACGUUCGCAAGAAUGAAACUCAAAGGAAUUGACGGGG
rnacentral:rRNA from 1 species